rnacentral:rRNA from 1 species
UGCCAGCAGCCGCGGUAAUACGAAGGGUGCAAGCGUUAAUCGGAAUUACUGGGCGUAAAGCGUGCGUAGGCGGUUUGUUAAGUCUGCUGUGAAAUCCCCGGGCUCAACCUGGGAAUGGCAGUGGAUACUGGCAAGCUAGAGUGUGUCAGAGGAUGGUGGAAUUCCCGGUGUAGCGGUGAAAUGCGUAGAGAUCGGGAGGAACAUCAGUGGCGAAGGCGGCCAUCUGGGACAACACUGACGCUGAGGCACGAAAGCGUGGGGAGCAAACAGGAUUAGAUACCCUGGUAGUCCACGCCCUAAACGAUGCGAACUGGAUGUUGGUCUCAACUCGGAGAUCAGUGUCGAAGCUAACGCGUUAAGUUCGCCGCCUGGGGAGUACGGUCGCAAGACUGAAACUCAAAUAAAUUGACGG